ACGCAGCGAAAUGCGAUAAGUAAUGUGAAUUGCAGAAUUCAGUGAAUCAUCGAAUCUUUGAACGCACCUUGCACCCUUUGGUAUUCCAAGGGGUACACCCGUUUGAGUGUC
rnacentral:rRNA from 1 species